rnacentral:rRNA from 1 species
AACGAACGCUGGCGGCAGGCCUAACACAUGCAAGUCGAGCGCCCAGCAAUGGGAGCGGCGCACGGGUGAGUAACACGUGGGAACGUGCCCUUUGGUUCGGAAUAACGCAGGGAAACUUGCGCUAAUACCGGAUAAGCCCUACGGGGGAAAGAUUAUCGCCAUUGGAGCGGCCCGCGUCUGAUUAGCUAGUUGGUGAGGUAACGGCUCACCAAGGCAACGAUCAGUAGCUGGUGAGAGAACGACCAGCCACACUGGGACUGAGACACGGCCCAGACUCCUACGGGAGGCAGCAGUGGGGAAUCUUGGACAAUGGGGGAAACCCUGAUCCAGCCAUGCCGCGUGAGUGAUGAAGGCCCUAGGGUUGUAAAACUCUUUCGGCGGGACGAUAAUGACGGUACCCGCAGAAGAAGCUCCGG